CUUUGCCUGUGUCUGUGUGUGUAGUGCUGACAGCACUUGCCCCUAGUCUGCCAGAGGCUACACGGGGGACCUUUGCCUGUGUGUGUGUGUGUAGUGCUGACAGCACUUGCCCCUAGUCUGCCAGAGGCUACACGGGGGACCUUUGCCUGUGUCUGUGUGCCGCGUGCGUCAGGGACAAGUGGAGUCGGAUGUCGUCCGAGGAGCGAGAGGAGAGCAGCCGCUUCAGCAGCAACGUCGUGUUCGGGCAGCUCUCGACGUUCAUGCUGAACAUGUUGUUGUUUGGGCUGGGCAUGGAGUUCUGCCACGAGUUCCUGGAGAAGCACAGCGCCAUCGCUCACCUCGCCGCAGAGCAGCACGUGCUGCUCAAGAACCAGAUCCAGGAGAUGGCCGAUGAAGUUGGUCUCCACUAGCGGCGGUGGUGGUGGUGGUGGUUGUGGUGGUGGUGGUGGUGGUUGUGGUGGUGGUGGUGGUUGUGGUGAGGGAGAGGGUGGUGGUGGUGGUGGUGGUUGUGGUGGUG